UCCACCUCUUUCCCUUGACCCAGCACUACACCUACCAGUACAUAUUUUUGCUUUGGAUGUCAGAUUCACCACAAUAUAUUAAUUUUGUGAUUUAAUUGGAAGCUGCAGGCACAAGAUCUGGACUGGGUUCUGAUUCCUGUGUGGCGUCCUGGACAUUGGACACUAUGCAGAAGUCUGUCUUCAGAUGUCAUCUGGACCAUGGACAGAAUUUGUUGGCAAUGAUGUUAAGGGAUUGCCUAAACAAGGACUGUCCAACAACUGUGUAAUGUUUGUAGUGAUGUAUGCACUACUUUGUGAUGGGAGCAUCAUUUGAUUUCAGCGAGAAUGAUAUGAUGACAAUACGAAGAUGGUGGUCUCUCACUCUCUGGAGAAACUUCCCUGUGAA